UACGUAGGGGGCAAGCGUUGUCCGGAAUUAUUGGGCGUAAAGCGCGUGUAGGCGGCUCGGUAAGUCUGCUGUGAAAGUCCAGGGCUCAACCCUGGAAUGCCGGUGGAUACUGUCGAGCUCGAGUCCGGAAGAGGCGAGUGGAAUUCCCGGUGUAGCGGUGAAAUGUGCAGAUAUCGGGAGGAACACCUAUGGCGAAGGCAGCUCGCUGGGACGUUACUGACGCUGAGACGCGAAAGCGUGGGGAGCAAACAGG
rnacentral:rRNA from 1 species